CUUGAUAAAAUGUUUUUAUUCUAUAGACACUUUGAUGAGAAUUUGACAGGGCGCUUGAGUCACAAAGAUUUCCGGUCCUGCCUGAGAGGACUCAAUUACUACCUGCCCAUGGUGGAGGAGGAUGAACCUGAGCCCAAGUUCGAGAAAUUCCUGGAUGUCGUCGAUCCAGGGAGGAAGGGCUAUGUCUCACUGGAAGAAUAUACCUCAUUCCUGAUUGACAAGGAAUCAGAGAACAUCAAGACCAGCGAUGAAAUAGAGAAUGCUUUCCAAGCUUUGGCAGAGGGCAAGAACUAUAUUACCAAAGA